UUGCUGGGGUGGGGUUCCUUGUAACAUGAGUCGGGUAUUUAGUUCCUGGUCCAGGCCACUUGGCAAUAGGUAAAUGUCAAGUUCCUUUAUUCCUUCCUAAGCAUUAAAUUAACCAGUUAGUAGCGAUACACACACACACACACACACACA